AUACCUUUCUCGGCCUUUUGGCUAAGAUCAAGUGUAGUAUCUGUUCUUAUCAGUUUAAUAUCUGAUACGUGGACUACAAGUCCACAAUGAUAUUAAAUUAAUUUUUAUGGGGAAGGAUUCAUUGGCUUGCCACUUGGGUCCUCGUGUGUUCCCCGGGCAUUGCACUAUAGCCUGGGUGUGGUGCACCCCAA
rfam:Triticum aestivum genome assembly, contig: Triticum_aestivum_CS42_TGACv1_scaffold_030573_1BL